ACGCGAAAAACCUUACCUACCCUUGACAUGCUAGGAAGCACGCAAAGAUGUGGGUGUGCCCGAAAGGGAACCUAGACACAGGUGCUGCAUGGCUGUCGUCAGCUCGUGUCGUGAGAUGUUGGGUUAAGUCCCGCAACGAGCGCAACCCUUGCCAUUAGUUGCUACAUUCAGUUGGGCACUCUAAUGGGACCGCCGGUGACAAACCGGAGGAAGGUGGGGAUGACGUCAAGUCCUCAUGGCCCUUAUGGGUAGGGCUUCACACGUAAUACAAUGGUCGGUACAGAGGGCUGCCAACCCGCAAGGGGGAGCUAAUCCCAGAAAGCCGAUCGUAGUCCGGAUUGUAGUCUGCAACUCGACUGCAUGAAGCCGGAAUCGCUAGUAAUCGCGGAUCAGCAUGUCGCGGUGAAUACGUUCCCGGGUCUUGUACACACCGCCCGUCACACCAUGGGAGUGGGUUCCACCAGAAG
rnacentral:rRNA from 1 species